UACGGGGGGGGCAAGCGUUGUUCGGAAUUACUGGGCGUAAAGGGCUCGUAGGCGGCCAACUAAGUCAUACGUGAAAUCCCUCGGCUUAACCGGGGAACUGCGUCUGAUACUGGAUGGCUUGAGUUCGGGAGAGGGAUGCGGAAUUCCAGGUGUAGCGGUGAAAUGCGUAGAUAUCAGGAGGAACACCAGUGGCGAAGGCGGCUUCCUGGACACCAACUGACGCUGAGACGCGAAAGCGUGGGGAGCAAACAGG
rnacentral:rRNA from 1 species